rnacentral:siRNA from 1 species
AUAAUACAGCGCGGACAACAGUC